rnacentral:antisense_RNA from 1 species
UGUUAUGGCAGCUGCGCGCGGGAGAUCUUUCGAGGUCUGCCGGGGUCCGAUAUGCCCGGUCUUGCACACCUGCGCACAGCUGCCACCCUU